AACCAAGGAGACGCUCCUGGCACUGCAGAUAACUGUCUGCAUUUCAAGAACAACCUACCAGAGACCUUACCUGUCACCUUGGCUCUCCCACCCAAUGGAGAUGGCUCUAAUGGUGGCACAAACCAGGAAGGGGAAAUCUGUGGUUUAAAUUCUUUAUGCCUCAUCCUCUGAGUGCUGAAGGCUUGCUGUAGGCUGUAUGCUGUUAAUGCUAAUCGUGAUAGGGGUUUUUACCUCCAACUGACUCCUACAUGUUAGCAUUAACAGGGUAUGAUGCCUGUUACUAGCAUUCACAUGGAACAAAUUGCUGCCGUGGGAGGAUGACAAAGAAGCAUGAGUCACCCUGCUGGAUAAACUUAGACUUCAGGCUUUAUCAUUUUUCAAUCUGUUAAUCAUAAUCUGAUCACUGGGAUGUUCAACCUUAAACUAAGUUUUAAAAGUAAGGUUAUUUAAAAAAUUUAUCAGUAGUAUCCUAAAUGCAAACAUUUUCAUUUAAAUAUCAAGCCCACGUUUGUUUUUAUCAUUAACAGAAAAUGUAUUCCUGUCAUUCUUAAUUGCAGGUUUUGACUUGUUCAAUAUAAUGUCCAUAAAUACCUUUGAUUCAACUGUUAGAAAUGUGGGCUAAACACAAAUUUCUAUAAUAUUUUUGUAGUUAAAAAUUAGAAGGACUACUAACCUCCAGUUAUAUCAUGGAUUGUCUAGCAACAUUUUUAAAAAUAUUUAGAAACUGGUACUUUCCCCCAUGUAACGAUUUGCUGUUUAGGCAACUUCAGUUUAGAAUUAAUACUUUCAUUUGACUCUUAAAGGGAAAUUGAAAGGCUAUGAAGCUGAAUUUUUUAAGUGAGAUAUUUUUAACAAGUAGCAGGGUAAAUAACAUCUGAGAGCUAGUGAGAUAUUGUUUCCAUACAAGAUACAAAGAUUUAAUUAAAAAACUCAUAUUUGAAAUGAAGUCCCAAAUCUAGGUU